rnacentral:rRNA from 1 species
GAUAUGGCUCAGGACGAACGCUGGCGGCGCGCCUAACACAUGCAAGUCGAACGAGCGAGAGGAGGUUUACUUUCUCAAGCGAGUGGCGAACGGGUGAGUAACGCGUGAGGAACCUGCCUCAAAGAGGGGGACAACAGUUGGAAACGACUGCUAAUACCGCAUAAGCCCACGACCCGGCAUCGGGUAGAGGGAAAAGGAGCAAUCCGCUUUGAGAUGGCCUCGCGUCCGAUUAGCUAGUUGGUGAGGUAAUGG